rnacentral:rRNA from 1 species
GAUGAACGCUGGCGGCGUGCUUAACACAUGCAAGUCGAGCGAGAUUAUUCUUCGGAAUAGUCUAGCGGCGGACGGGUGAGUAACACGUGGGCAACCUGCCUUGUAGAGGGGGAUAGCCUUCCGAAAGGAAGAUUAAUACCGCAUAAAGUUAUUGAAAGGCAUCUUUCGAUAAUCAAAGGAGCAAUCCGCUACAAGAUGAGCCCGCGGCGCAUUAGCUAGUUGGUGAGGUAACGGCUCACCAAGGCGACGAUGCGUAGCCGACCUGAGAGGGUGAUCGGCCACAUUGGGACUGAGACACGGCCCAGACUCCUACGGGAGGCAGCAGUGGGUAAUAUUGCACAAUGGGGGAAACCCUGAUGCAGCAACGCCGCGUGAGUGAUGACGGCCUUCGGGCUGUAAAGCUCUGUCUUUGGGGACGAUAAUGACGGUACCCAAGGAGGAAGUCACGGCUAACUACGUGCCAGCAGCCGCGGUAA